UCCAGCGUGUCCUGGGUCUUCCCUGGGGCCUCCUCCCAAUGGGACGUGCCAGGAACACCUCUCCAGCGAGGCGUCCAGGGGGCAUCCGGAAAGAUGUCCGAGCCACCUCAAGUGACUCCUUUAGACAUGGAGGAGCAACGGCUCGACUCAGAGCUCCUCCCGAGUGACCUUGUCUUAAUAUUUUAGGCACCA